rnacentral:rRNA from 1 species
GAUGAACGCUGGCGGCGUGCCUAAUACAUGCAAGUCGAACGCUUCACUUCGGUGAAGAGUGGCGAACGGGUGAGUAAUACAUAAGUAACCUGGCAUCUACAGGGGGAUAACUGAUGGAAACGUCAGCUAAGACCGCAUAGGUGUAGAGAUCGCAUGAACUCUAUAUGAAAAGUGCUACGGGACUGGUAGAUGAUGGACUUAUGGCGCAUUAGCUUGUUGGUAGGGUAACGGCCUACCAAGGCGACGAUGCGUAGCCGACCUGAGGGGGUGACCGGCCACACUGGGACUGAGACACGGCCCAGACUCCUACGGGAGGCAGCAGUAGGGAAUUUUCGGCAAUGGGGGAAACCCUGACCGAGCAACGCCGCGUGAAGGAAGAAGUAAUUCGUUAUGUAAACUUCUGUCAUAGAGGAAGAACGGUGGAUAUAGGGAAUGAUAUCCAAGUGACGGUACUCUAUAAGAAAGCCACGGCU